AUCGGAGCCCGGUUGCCGAGAUGAUGGCUAUCAGGUAAGUGUAGAGGUAAACCGUUGUAGAAGACCCGGGUUCGAUGCCGAAGAGUCCAACCAACAAGGACUUUAUGGUAAAGUUUUUUGCUCAAUAAGUAGCCCUAGUUCUGGCUUGCUAGCUCACUAAAAAAGCUUAGACCAAUCAGUUGAGGCCUUGGUCUCCCAAACCACAGCUCUCGGGUUCGAUUCUUCUUGGUAGAUAGAAUAGAGAGUGGGAAAAUGCGGCAAUAUGCUUGCAAAGCUUGAGCCCUAGUUUAUUUUUCCCCUUCUCCGUCGUCGUUUCGCUUCGCCCUAUCGCCCUAGCAACGACAAGAUCGUCCAGCUCGAGUUCCAUCCCGCGCAGCCCUGCCUCGCAGCUGCUCGUGGAUCUGGCGCCGUCGCAUCGCCAGGUGAGCUGCUCUUGCUCGGGAAAUCGCGAAACCUCACAUUCGGGGUUUCUACCUCCUGUAUGAGCUCAAUGCUGGGGCAUAAGCGCCUCGUUGUGGAGAUCCGGGUAACAUAUUUCUGGAUGCGUCUCUUUGAUCCACCCUGUUAGAUACGAUAUUUGUAAUUGAAGGAAGUGUGAAGCACAUCAGAUUUGACGAUGGGUGGAUCAGUUGGACACGCUCAUUCCUCUCCAGCUCACUUCUCUCCAUCCCGUUGUUUGGGUAGCUCUGGCUCCACUCGAGGCCGACACUUCCUCCUCGUUGUCUGCUGCGAGAACAAAGACAUCUUCUCCGAUCUCAGCACAGUGCGUGCUCGGCAAACAAAUCCUGGAAAACAAAGCGCCUCUAUGGGUGCUUCGCUUGUGGAGAUGGCACGACUCUUAUGACGUCUAGCGCGGCGACGCUUUUGGUGUCCGUGGCUAUGGAAUGAAUGGAAUUGCUCUUUCCUGAUUUGCCUCUGCGGGCUCACGAUGGUGGUGUGCACGGGAUGGAAAUGGCCAAAGUACCACCAAAGGGACCUCCUCAACUUGUAAACCAAGAUGGCAUUGGCCAUCUGGGAUACCACUUCUUUCAGGGUGUGUGUUCGUCGAUGCGGGGGUACGUGCCAUUGAUGUUGAAAGAAGGAAGAGAUGAAGAACCGUGCAGCUCAGGGAGCCUCCAUGGCAGACUGCUUUGUUCGACCACCUAUGUUACAGGUUGUCCGGCUCGCUCCAUGCCACACUGCUCCUUCAAUUGCACGGCCUCCGCCAGCCAAGUGGAUGUGGAAGACAAGAAGGUUGCAGGCGUGGCGUGGCGUUGCGAUGGGGGAGGCGGCGUUGCUGUAGCAGUAUGCAGAUUACCGAUGGAGCGUCCUUUGGAUUGUUGACAGUUUGUAUGACAGGUUCAUGGUUUAUCCACCGAUGUCUUGCUGCUCACGGAGACGUUACAUUGCUAGCGCUGUGAAAUGGGCUUUCAGGCUUGGACGAGAGCACCAUGACGACCUUGCUCAGUUUAUGCUAGGCAUGGGCUAUGCUACUGAAGCUUUACGUCUGCCUGGCAUUCCGAAGGCUGGAGUGUGACCUCGCAAGCAAUGCCUCGUCACGCUAAGCCAAGAAGCUGAUGCAGUUUGACAACCAAGGAGAAAACAAGCGACGGUUUGUGAAGUUCUCCGAUGAGCUAGUAGAUGCCGAGUGCCAAAAAAGCUGGCAGUGGCUGGUCCUGUCGAAGGGGAAUCGAAUGAGAAUACUCGGGCGCUCGUCCAGUUUAGAUACAACAGGAGGAGGCCCAGAAACAUUGGUAGUGGUGAGCUUUUCAGAGUUAUGAAGGAUCGGUUGCCUGAUGAUCACUUCCAGUUCGUCAACAGCUCAACACAACGAUCAAGCGCAGCGCAAUCUAUCGACCAAUCUAGAAUCUCCAAAAUCCGCAAAUGGGUUCUUCCAAGGACGAAGCGCCGAGAAUGCGGGGGAUGGUACCAAAACGUCAUGUAUCUUCCAAAGACAUCCUGCCAUAUGGUUUAAGUAGAUGGUAUGUUAUUUUAUUAUCGGAGCCCGGUUGCUGAGAUGAUGGCUAUCUGGUAAGUGUAGAGGUAAACCGUUGUAGAAGACCCGGGUUCGAUGCCGAAGAGUCCAACCAACAAGGGCUUUAUGGUAAAGUUUUUUGCUCAAUAAGUAGCCCUAGUUCUGGUUUGUUAGCUCACUAAAAAAGCUUAGACCAAUCGGUUGAGGCUUUGGUCUCCCAAACCACAGCUCUCGGGUUCGAUUCCUCUUUGUAGAUAGAAUAAAGUCAGGAAUAUUCAUGGCCA